AUUGAACGCUGGCGGCAGGCCUAACACAUGCAAGUCGAACGAGCGGCGGACGGGUGAGUAAUGUCUGGGGAUCUGCCCGAUGGAGGGGGAUAACUACUGGAAACGGUAGCUAAUACCGCAUACUAUCAGAUGAACCCAUAUGGGAUUAGCUAGUAGGUGGGGUAACGGCUCACCUAGGCGACGAUCCCUAGCUGGUCUGAGAGGAUGACCAGCCACACGGGAACUGAGACACGGUCCAGACUCCUAAGGGAGGCAGCAGUGGGGAAUAUUGCACAAUGGGCGCAAGCCUGAUGCAGCCAUGCCGCGUGUAUGAAGAAGGCCUUCGGGUUGUAAAGUACUUUCAGCGGGGAGGCGUUACCCGCAGAAGAAGCACCGGCUAACUCCGUGCCAGCAGCCGCGGUAAUUC
rnacentral:rRNA from 1 species